rnacentral:rRNA from 1 species
GACGAACGCUGGCGGCGUGCCUAAUACAUGCAAGUCGGACGAACCAGGAAGGGAACUUGUUCCUUUCCUUGGUUAGUGGCAGACGGGUGAGUAACACGUGGAGAACCUACCUUUCAGCGGGGGAUAACCAUUGGAAACGAUGACUAAUACCGCAUAGGACUUUGAGUCACCUGACUUAAAGAGGAAAGACGGCUUCGGCUGUCACUGAAAGAUGGCUCCGCGGUGCAUUAGCUAGAUGGUAAGGUAACGGCUUACCAUGGCCAUGAUGCAUAGCCGACCUGAGAGGGUGAUCGGCCACAUUGGGACUGAGACACGGCCCAA